rnacentral:rRNA from 1 species
GCAUGUCUAAGUAUAAGCAAUUGUACGGUGAAACUGCGAAUGGCUCAUUAAAUCAGUUAUCGUUUAUUUGAUAGUACCUUACUACUUGGAUAUCCGUGGUAAUUCUAGAGCUAAUACAUGCUUACAGCCCCGACUUCUGGAAGGGGCGAGUUUAUUAGAUAAAAAGCCGACGUUGUUGGUGAUUCAUGAUAACCUUUCGAAUCGCGAGUAAUCGCGAUGGUUCAUUCAAAUUUCUGCCCUAUCAAUUGAACCGUAGGGUAGUGGCCUACGGUGAUUUCUACGGGUAACGGGGAAUAAGGGUUCGAUUCCGGAGAGGGAGCCUGAGAAACGGCUACCACAUCCAAGGAAGGCAGCAGGCGCGCAAAUUACCCAAUCCCGACACGGGGAGGUAGUGACAAUAAAUAACGAUGCGGGGCACGUAUGUGUUUCGCAAUUGGAAUGAGUACAAUGUAAAUACCUUAACGAGGAACAAUUGGAGGGCAAGCCUGGUGCCAGCAGCCGCGGUAAUUCCAGCUCCAAAAGCGUAUAUUAAAGUUGUUGCAGUUAAAAAGCUCGUAGUUGAUUUUCGACGCAUCUGAGGGGUCCACUUCGGUGCGUACUCUGAGGGUGCGUUUUCUCUGGGGCGCCUUUUGGCAAGCCAGACUGUUACUUUGAAAAAAUUAGAGUGUUCAAAGCGGGCGAUAGCUUGAAUAUAUUAGCAUGGAAUAAUAGAAUAGGACGGAUGGAUCUAUUUUGUUGGUUUCUAGAACCAUCGUAAUGAUUAAUGGGCAUCGGCGGGGGCAUCGGUAUUCAAAUGUCAGAGGUGAAAUUCUUGGAUUA